AGGGAAAUCUCUGUAAUUUUUAAAUAUUAUAGGGGCGAAUGUACCCAAUUGAACCAGGGCAUGGAAUUUUUAAACCCCCC
rnacentral:tRNA from 1 species